UGUUAGGUCACGAAUGCUUGUUUUGAUAUGAUUAAUCACUAAAUAGAUAUGACCUUGAUUUUGACAUUUGAUUUUAUCUAAAGGGGAUGUAAAGGUUCCAGACCCAGUAAGGUUGAAUUAAAACAGAACAAAAAACGGUUACAAUUGUUUUUAAUUUAAAAUACUAACAACUUAUUUUAUCUAAAUUUUAGAAAAGAUUUAAGGAUAUCGGCUAAAGGAUCCUCAAAAUAAGGAACAUUUUUAGGGAAGCUACAUUGAUUCCAUAAGUUUGCCGAGUGUUAUGUGCCUUAUGUCCAAGGCUUCAUGCAAAACUACUAUCGAGCCGAGGGUCUCAUUGGAAACAACCUCUCUAUUCCUAUAGGGUAGAGGUAAGGCGGUCUACAUCUUACCCUCCUCAGACCCUACCUUAGCUUUGCUAUUGGUGGGGUUUACUGAGUAUGAUGAUGAUGAUGAUGUAGUUGCUCUUAAAAAAGACAUGGUUUGAGGAAAAAAAACUCAUAAUGUGUUUCUAAUUUGCUAAUGGGAGUUUCCUUUGGCUGUAGAUUGCUUACAAAUGAAGAUAUAUUUUUUACACUUAACUUAACUUUUUUUUGAAUGGCAAGGAAUGACGUGCCAACCACCAUGACACCGGGCGUUGUGGUCAAAGUCGACUACUCGACCGCCGCCAACCCCUUGGUCUCCCAGAUGCGCGGAAACCCGACCACCCGCGCAAAGGCACGACAGUGGAAUAAAUUAUGACUUAACAACUUGGUUCUUAACUUUUUAAAAUAUGUUAAUGUACUACCAGUUUGAUGCUCUUGUCCAUAAAAGUUAACUUGAUGGUGAAAUGGGUGAUGCUCAUAUGGCGAUGCAGGCUAGGCUUAUUAGCCAUGUCAUUUAGAACUUUAGUUGCUUUCUUCAUGUGGCCACUAAGAUGCGUAAACUUUCAAAUGGAUACUAUUAUUAUGACAUGCUAUAUUUGGUACCAUUUUCAUCUUACCAAAACCUAUCACCUGAUGGCAAAGUAGAUAGAAAUGAGUCUGAUUCAAUCACAUCUUCUGAGUCUAAUUCUAAUGUAAUUGUCACCAAGGUAUACAAAAUUAAAGUGGACAAAAUACUUGUGAUGAGGAUGUGUGACCUCUAUUCAGGAUCUGGUUCAAUGUCUACCAGACUUUGUUUGGUACUAAUAUGGCAGAUAGAUGGGUUGUAGAUUUAAAUAAAAUAUGCAUUUGAAAGCUUGAAGCUGAAUCUGCUUCAGGAGCUUAUGGAAGGAAUAGAACUUCCAGGGCUAGUAGAUGCCAUCUGGACCACCACC